rfam:Triticum urartu cultivar G1812 contig1228605, whole genome shotgun sequence.
AAGGUACUCCCUCCGUCCCAAAUUACUUGUCGCAGAAAUAAAAUAAAAAUGGAUGUAUUUAAAACUAAAAUAUGUCUAGAUACAUCCAUUUCCGUGACAAGUAAUUCCGGACAGAGGGAGUAUUUA